UGACGUGUUUUCUCAACUACG
rnacentral:piRNA from 1 species